UGCGGGGUGGAGCAGCUCGGUAGCUCGUCGGGCUCAUAACCCGAAGGUCAUAGGUUCAAAUCCUGUCCCCGCUACCA
rnacentral:tRNA from 1 species